rfam:Aedes aegypti strain Liverpool supercont1.197 genomic scaffold, whole genome shotgun sequence.
CCUUUGGCUCUUUUCAGGGCCACCGAAUAUGCGUAAAAGAGUUAAG